AAAGUCGUAACAAGGUUUCUGUAGGUGAACCUGCGGAAGGAUUAUUAACGUGGGGCUCUGGCCCUGCUGAGAUAGAACCCUUGCCUUUUUCGAGCACCCGUACGUUUCCUUGGCAGGCCUGCCUGCUAGUGGGGACCUAAACACAAACCCUUGAAAUCACCUGCUACUGUCUGAGAAAAUAAAACAAAAAUCAAAACUUUCAACAAUGGAUCUCUUGGUUCUG
rnacentral:misc_RNA from 1 species